CCAAUAGCGUAUAUUAAAGUUGUUGCAGUUAAAAAGCUCGUAGUUGAAUUUCGGGAUCGACGGGUCGGUCGCGCCUCUGGUGUGUACUGGCCCUGUCGGUUUCUCCCUUCUGACGAACUGCGAUGUCAUUAAUUUGGUGUCGUAGGGAAUCAGGACUGUUACUUUGAAAAAAUUAGAGUGUUUAAAGCAGGCAUUCGCUUGAAUACAUUAGCAUGGAAUAAUGAAAUAGGACGUUUGAUCUUAUUUUGUUGGUUUCUAAGAUCGACGUAAUGAUUAAUAGGGAUAGUUGGGGGCAUUAGUAUUCAAUUGUCAGAGGUGAAAUUCUUGGAUUUAUUGAAGACUAACUACUGCGAAAGCAUUUGCCAAGGAUGUUUCCAUUAAUCAAGAACGAAAGUUAGGGGAUCGAAGACGAUCAGAUACCGUCGUAGUCUUAACCAUAAACUAUGCCGACUAGGGAUCGGAUGAUGUUAAUUUUUUAAUGACUCAUUCGGCGCCUUACG
rnacentral:rRNA from 1 species